rnacentral:rRNA from 1 species
AACGAACGCUGGCGGCAUGCCUAACACAUGCAAGUCGAACGAGACCUUCGGGCCUAGUGGCGCACGGGUGCGUAACGCGUGGGAAUCUGCCCUCUGGUACGGAAUAACUCAGGGAAACUUGAGCUAAUACCGUAUAAUGACUUCGGUCCAAAGAUUUAUCGCCUGAGGAUGAGCCCGCGUAGGAUUAGCUUGUUGGUGAGGUAAAAGCUCACCAAGGCGACGAUCCUUAGCUGGUCUGAGAGGAUGAUCAGCCACACUGGGACUGAGACACGGCCCAGACUCCUACGGGAGGCAGCAGUGGGGAAUAUUGGACAAUGGGCGAAAGCCUGAUCCAGCAAUGCCGCGUGAGUGAUGAAGGCCUUAGGGUUGUAAANCUCUUUUACCCGGGAUGAUAAUGACAGUACCGGAGAAUAAGCCCC